AUUGAACGCUGGCGGCAGGCCUAACACAUGCAAGUCGAGCGGGACGGCGGACGGGUGAGUGAUGCAUAGGAAUGUGCCUGGCAGUGGGGGAUGACGUCCGGAAACGGGCCCUAAUACCACAUACUAUCAGCUUCGCCUAGGUCGGAUUAGCUAGUGGGUGGGGUAAAGGCUUACCAAGGCGACGAUCAGCAACUGGUCUGAGAGGAUGAUCAGUCACACUGGAACUGAGAAACGGUCCAGACUCCUACGGGAGGCAGAAGUGGGGAAUAUUGGACAAUGGGCGAAAGCCGGAUGCAGCCAUGCCGCGUGUAUGAAGAAGGCCUUCGGGUGGUAAAGUACUUUCAUUGGGGAGGCGUUACCGACAGAAGAAGCACCGGCUAACUCCGUGCCAGCAGCCGCGGUAAUAC
rnacentral:rRNA from 1 species